GCACAACCCGUCAAAGCAAAUAUGGUCCACCGCAUGUAAGUUAUGAGACAGGCACGUCGAUGAAUGUUUUGACAGCAACUUUGGUAACUAGAGCGGUUCAAUUGAAGGUGUGGAUGUCUUGCUACGCACUGGAAUGCGAAGCCGCUUUCUGGGACGCUUGAUUGGUGGCGCUAACACCCGGCGCCUUUCUGCAGUGGCUGAUGCGUCUAGUCGCAACAAGAAACCAUAUGCUGCAUGGCUAGUGGUCAGGUCUUUCACUUCCGUGACGAUUCUGUCCACAAGGCCCACGUAGCCGGGAACGUCCUUGGCCAGCUCGUGAACUUGCCUCAGCGAUGAGACUAGAGCCUGGUAACUUUGUUCCU